rnacentral:rRNA from 1 species
GACGAACGCUGGCGGCGUGCCUAAUACAUGCAAGUAGAACGCUGAAGGAGGAGCUUGCUUCUCUGGAUGAGUUGCGAACGGGUGAGUAACGCGUAGGUAACCUGCCUGGUAGCGGGGGAUAACUAUUGGAAACGAUAGCUAAUACCGCAUAAUAGCAGUUGUCGCAUGACAACUGUUUGAAAGGUGCAAUUGCACCACUACCAGAUGGACCUGCGUUGUAUUAGCUAGUUGGUGGGGUAACGGCUCACCAAGGCGACGAUACAUAGCCGACCGAGAGGGUGAUCGGCCACACUGGGACUGAGACACGGCCCAGACUCCUACGGGAGGCAGCAGUAGGGAAUCUUCGGCAAUGGACGGAAGUCUGACCGAGCAACGCCGCGUGAGUGAAGAAGGUUUUCGGAUCGUAAAGCUCUGUUGUAAGAGAAGAACGAGUGUGAGAGUGGAAAGUUCACACUGUGACGGUAUCUUACCAGAAAGGGACGGCUAACUACGUG